UUUUUCUCUCGAUGAAUUUUCGCAUUGUGAUUUUCAUAUGUAUUCUUUGAUUCUUAGGUUAGUUUGAUUGCAUCUUAGGUUUUUUUAGGGUUUUAUGUUGGAGAAUUGGACUUCCUGAUGUUUCUUGAUUGACAUUCAAGAUGUAAUUGAUAUUCUUUUGCCUAAGUGAUUAACUAUGUUCAAGAAUUUACCAUGUUUUUAGUGAUUUUUUUUAUCAAGAUUCUAUAAUGUCUCGUCUUUAGCGAAGAAUGUACGGUACCUAUAUGUUUUGGUCACUACUUUUAGAGGGUUGUAAUUGUUUGUGGAAUUUUAAUGGUGAAGUACUUGGUUAAGAUCAAAUAGAUUUCUGGGUUAUUUAUUGUUUUUAUUUUUUCUUUAAAAUAUACCAAGAGUUGAAUGCUGCUGUUAUAAGAUUGGAAUUUGGAUGGUAUUGUUUCAUUUUUUCCUAAAAUAUAUGAAGAUUAAUAAUCACUGUUUGUUGCAUUCGACUUAAAGUAUGCUUUCUAUCUUCUUCUUUUUUUUUGUGAUGGAUUUCAUACUGUGAUUUCAAGAUUUUCUUGAUAUUUCUUGACUGAAAUUGUACAAUGUAAUUGAUAUUGUUUUGCUUUAGUGGUUUAUUAUGUUCAAGAAUUUACAAUUUUCUAUAUGAAUUUUUACCAAUAGAACUGAAAAACUUCUCCAUCUCCUCUACAUUUUUUGUUCCGCAAUGUUAAUAAAGACACAUCUGUGUUUUCGUCUACAAUGUUCUCUUGUUUUCUUCAAAAUAUCUUGAUGCUUCUCUCUUCAUUUGAUCCAUCAUAUGAUUAUAGUAUGGAGUACUAGAGGGGCUUUGCAGCUUUGAGGAGGCCUGUUCCAAUAUAACAGUAGUUUUUGAGGGAUUCAGGAAUGAAUAUUUCACUUCUAGUAUAUUCAGAAAGAUCGAUUAUGGCUGGCUAAGGUGUAACUUUACAAUGAAUAAAGAAGAUAUUAGUCUGGUUGUGGCAGUCAGUUGAAACUUUUUUCUUGGUCUGAUCUUGCCAAACUGUUGAGCUGUGUUGGCCUAUGCUUUCUAACUAUGUUGUUUCAUAUUAGUGUGGACUAUCUUUGAGUAAAGCUGCUUCUCCAAGGAGGCUGGUUAUGUUGGCGAGGAUGUGGAAUAUGUAUUAUCCAAAUUACGUAUGCAUGAUGCUUUUAUAGCAUUUGAUUUUUUUUAUUCUAUUCAUGUCCGCACUGCUUAGUUAAGCGCAUUUCAUUAACGGCACUUCAGAGCGGAGUUGUGAUUUUGGGAGUUCAAAAUGGUACUCAGUUUUUUAAAAGGUGAUUCUUAGUAGUUAGUAUAUUGUGUGAUUUCACUAUACAAGAUUGAACAUGAUGUAAAAUAAUCAGUUUUCCUGUUUCCAGCAAUAUCGCCAAAAGAUAGACGCAAGUUGCACAAAGUUCAACUAUGUUCUUAAUAUUGAUACUAUCAUUAUAUAACUUCUUUUACCUUGUGCAAUCUUUUCAAUGUACUUUCUACCAUUGGUCAGUCAUUCUCUGUGUAAAAAUCUUGAUGGCUUCUCUUGUUCAUUUUUUUAAGGCUUUCUUUGGGUUUUUCCUGUUUCUGAUUAUGUUUUGGUGAUUUUGCAAUUUCAUUUUAUAUUGCUGAUGGCAAAACAGAUAUCUACUGCUUCUUCUAGCAUCACAGUUUGCAAUGUUAUUACUGACAUGGUAGAUGUGCGCUAGCUGGUUGCCUAAAAGUACUUAACUUUUGUUCUUUUCUAGGCAAUUUAUGUGUUUCCACUUUCCAUUGGAUGACCAUUCAGAAAGUAUAACCUAAUAGAGUAAAUAUGAUUUGUAAUUGGAAUAUGGAAGCAGCUGUGUAAUUCUACUGCAAAAAAACUGAAAAUGUGUUGUGCGUGGAGAGUACUGCAGCUGCAAAUUUAAGGUAAUCACGUAGUAGGAAAUACAUUUAAAACUGGCGCCUAGAACUGCAAUUAACAUAUCUGUUUUUUAGAUUUGAAGAAAUGUAGGGAGGUGAUUGAUAAAUUUGACUAUUUUAACAAAGAACUAGUUGGAUAGUUGGUCCAGUGGUUUGAAAUGGUUGAAGAGCCCACGUUACCAAUCAAAAUUUGAGUAGCUCAUGUAUCACUAGAAGUUUUAAUUCUCUGAAUAAUGCUGCAGAGCUUAGCUUUUUCUAGAGAGGUUAAUUUGUUUGGUUGUGGCGAUUAGAGUAGAAUGAACGUUGAAUGAUAAGAGAGGGUAAUGAUUUCCAAAGUAGUCACAAUGAUUUCACAUUUGUGCAAGAAUCAAUUUUCAUUUUCAUUUUUAUUGAUUAGGUACAAGAGAAUUAUCAUUAUCACAUUGUUGUGAAGUCGGUAACAAUAAACCUGGUUGAAAUGGUUGCCCCUUUGGUGUUCUGCUGAUUAUUGCAUUUGAAUAGUUUCUUUUUGAUGAAGGUUGCAUUGAAUAGUUUCCGUGGAGAAGCAGAUUUACUUCCUAUUUCCUUGUCAAGCAGACUACAUGGCUGCUAACUUCAAUGUAGAAGCAGUUCGGCAAUGGGUUGUCUACAUAGACGAAGUUGAUAAAAUAACCAAAAAGGCUGAGAGCCUAAACAUUGGCAGAGAUGCAUUCAUGGAGGGCUUCCAACAGGCGCUGCUGAAGAUGCUUGAAGGAACUGUGAGUAUUAAUUGCAAAUUAUUUCAGCUGUUCGUUCCAAUUGCCUAUUACUCUUGUAAACAUGUUUACAAAUUCUUAUAUUUUGUAGUUCCUGGACUUCAAAUGUGUCCUCUUUCUAAGCAUUUUUCUGAGAUCAGUAAUUUCACCUGCUCAUUUAUCUUUAUAUCUUCUUCCUAUUGUAAGUGUAACUGACAAUAGAGCAUGGAAGCAUCCAUGUGGCGAUACUAUUCAGGUAUACUGAAGCUAUUAAAGCCUCUUUUAUCUACUUCUUUUUUUUUUUUGCAGGCAAACAGUUUUGUUGGAAAAGCACUUACCCCUUGCUUUUUGGAUGGUAAUAUAGUUUAGUGCUUUUUAGAAUCAAUUUGAUUAUGUUGACGGUGAAAAACAAAUCUCUACUGGAAAGAUUGUUUGGCAAAGGAAAAUCAGAUGUCAGACACUUACCUAUUCAACAAGCAAGAAACAUGACUUCUUCAGCUAAACUCACAUAUGUUGGGAGGGGGAAGUCAAGUUAAAUAUUGGUCUAUAUGCCUUGCAGCAAUCAUCUACAAAGGAUGUGAAGUUGUACGAGCUGGAGAUUCCUUGUUCAGUAGCUCAUUACUGUUCACUCUUGAUGCUGCCUGCUCAUUAUACUUUUCCAUACACUAAUCUGCAGAUAGCUAAAGCUAUUUAUUUUCUUUUCUUUUUUGUGUUGGAACUUUUGUUAGUAGAGAAGACAAGUUCAGAAAGACGACAAGAUUCUUCAACUGGAUUCGGAGUACCUGUUCUAUCUAACAUGAGUUGGUGGUCUAACUGAUGCUGUAGUUACAUCAUCACUAUUGGAAUCUGUUAGGAGAUAGCUAAAGCUAUAAACUUUAUUAGUGGUGUAGCUUUUGUUGGUAGAGACAACAAUUUCAGAAAGAUGACAACAUUCUUCAACUGGAUUCGGAGUACCUGUUCUAACGAACAUGAGUAUUGGUGGUCUAACUGAUGCUGUAGUUACAUCGUCACUAUUGGAAUCUGUGAGGAGAUCCCUGUGACUUGAGUUUAGUUUUAUUUUCCGGAUCACUAUCUUGUAAAUCUAAUGAUUUCAUGACUCUUUAUUCUCGUGAAAUUCUAAAAAUAAAUGCAUCAGAAGCUUUUAUGUCACGUUGCUUUCUGUAUCUAGGUAGAAAGUGAUGAUCUCACUGCGGAUGGACACAUAAUUGUGGUGCGAUUUCCAGUAUUAGUGAGUUUAUCUUGCUGGAUGAGGAUUAGCUUGUUCAGGUUUCUCUCUACUCAUUUCGCCUUUUCGCGAUGUAGUUUCUAGUUUCAUGUUUUCCUGAUUUAGUUGGCUAUUUGGGAACUCCAACUGUGCUUAGGAGGUUGAUGGUAUUAUUUUAUUUUUCCUAAAAUAUAUGAAGAUUAAUAAUCAGUAUGUUCCUAUGCUUUGUUGAUAUAGAUUGGUCAUAGCAGUUAGAAUUCAGCUUUAUUGUGUGCGACUUCUCCUUUAUCUGUUCCUCACUCCUAGUGCUCUUCUAUACCUGCGAUGAACAAAUUCUUUUUUCUUUGAUGUUGGUUCCUUUUUGACUAGUACAUCCUUGUUGGCAAGACACUUGUUAGAGUUAUUAUACUGUGAAUUGAAACUUAGCGAAUUUGCAGUUCUCCAAAUAGUAGUUCUUCAAUCCUUUAACCUUGGUUGAGUAACAUAUCUGUAUCCCGAAUUUGUGAACUGCAUGGAUAACUGUCUUUCAAUUGGUGAUGUAGAAAUUACCUUCUCUUUGAUGAGACAGGAUCAUUCAAAUUUGCUGCUCUAAAUGAUCUUGUUUAACUGUAUGGUGCAUGGAGAGAUUACAACAAAAACAUCCCUAUGAUUGGUUUUGAUUUGUCCUCUCUGAUCUUGAGACUUUCUGUUCACAAUUUCUUGUUCCUCACUCAAUUUGUUCUUAUCAUUUUUAGUCCCGGUGGAAUUUUCCUCAUCAAGCAAUCAAUUGCCGUCUGAAUUAACUGCAGUAAUAAGUAGAUAGGUCUAGGCAAUUGAUUUGACCUAAACUAUUGAAUAGUAGGUGAAAGGAGGAUAUAGGAAGGAACUUUUGCAUCUUUUUAUGUAGGACAGUUUUUUUUUAUAGCAAUGGUAUGUGAGCCAUCUCAUACGCACCUCGACUAUUCCGAUGGGUAUCGGACCUCCGACCAACACCAGAUAACGAGUUAAGUACCCCCAAUGCUUAGAGAAAUGAGAAGAAACCAACUACUAUUUUUUCCCCCUCCAAUGAAAUUUAAACCCAAGAUCUCUUGACUGUCCUUGCACUUUACUGACUACUAGGCCAAAACUAUUGGGUGCAGGACAACAUAAGAAAGUUGAAAUGAAUAAUUUGCCUCCGAAAAGUAUUAUCAUUUACUUGUUCCUUCGAGACAAAGGAAAAAAUAAACAAAAGGUUUUGAUCCAUAAAUUGUUCUUUACAUGUGAGCAUAUGUCGGUGUUUGACGACUCAAUAUAGCCUAAAUUUGUCUCUUAACUAAAGAUUAAGAUUAAGAUUUUUUUUGGUAAUGCAGUAAAUUUUAUUCAUGUAAGGCUAAAAAAGUGCUAAUAUAGAAGUAUACCAAAAAGUAGAAACCUGCAAAUAGAGAUGGUUUUCUAUGAACUCCACCCAAUCAUCUAUCUAUACAUAAAGGUACUUCAUGUAUAGAUAGGGUACCAUCAUUCAUUCAAUGUACAAGACAUCUGCAAGUGUCUUCCUGCGUGCAUAUUUGGUUGUUUAAUUGCUUCAAGUCUUUUUGUUCAAUGCUAUUUCUUAUGAAAUAAAAUAUUCCUCCAUCAUUCCAAAUGAUGAAUGUGUUAUGCUGUUCAUGAAUAUUAGUCAAGAUUGUAGGUGUAUUGUCAAUGCGUGCACAAUUUGUUCUAAGAAGCGAUGCUGAGAUUAAGUGUGAAUGAAUGUCUUGACAUACUAUGUCAUGUUCUUCACAAGUAUAGGAAUUUGAUGGAGACUGACCAUGACUCAUUGUUAUCUUCAUUAUUGCCCCAACUGAGUUUCAAUCAAGCUAGUGUCGGGAAGAAGAGCAUUUCAUGUGUAGGUAACCUUGUUUUUUUUUUUUUGAUAAAGUAAGGAGAAUGUAUGGGUAACCUUGUUAUCAUCUUCUCUGUAUUGUAUGUGCUUUAUAAUUUGAUGCUUAGACAUAGAUGCUUUUGGAGAUGGUAACAACAAUUUCCCUUUCAGACAUGGAAACAUGUGUUAAUAAGAAUUCUUAAGACUGUCAUGUACUGUUGGACUGGUCACCAAGCUUUCAACUUUUCCUGCAGUAAAUUCAGUUUAACCUUUUUCCUGUACCGCAUCUCUGUCUUCGAAAUUGUCAGAUGAUUUGCUGGGGAGGGCUACAGUUGAAGUUAUUCUCCUUUUGAGCAACAAGAACUCAAAAUCGGUGAUGCUGCGAACUAACAUUCAGAUUAUUGGGGCCUUAAAGUAGCAUAUCCUAAAUUAUAAUUGAUGCCUGCGUUUUGUCCUAUCAAAUGUCAUGUAAUUUGAUAUACUUGUUUGCGUUGUUAACUUUAGACAAAUGCCCCAGGACAAUUUACUUUUCUCAAACAGUAGGUAUAGCAAGGACUCAAUUAGCAGAUUGCAUAUCCAAUAUUCUUCACCCUAGGGAAAGCAUGACAUAGUUGAAAGGGAAAAGAAGCCAGGUCAUCAUUUGGCAUUAUUUUGAUAACUGGAAAAGCAGACAGAGGAAGACAAGGGUUUCAAGUCAAAAUAUUGAAAUUUAUUCUUUUGCAUCUCGUGUUCUGGAGAUGUACAUAGGAGGAUAAAAGUGAAGUACGUUUAGUAAACAGACUAUGGUUAUUUGGCCUGGUCACCCUGUUGUUUAGUUUUAGAACUGCUUACUUGUAUCAAGUGAAACAAAAGAGGGCUGAAGGACUUCUGUUUGGGUGCUCUCUGCUGCAGUUGAGUAUUUAAAUGUGAAAUGAAAAAGACUAAGGUGUCAAACUAACGCAUGCAUGCUGACUCCUGACUCUUCCUUUUGGAGACUUCUCCUCUUUUGCUAUCCAUAUUUUUUUGACUUAUUUUUACUAAGCUGUCAAAUUGUGGUUCCAGAUGUGCUGUUGUCUAUUGUUUUGAUCCUCACCUCGGAGAGACAGUUCCAUUGCUAAUUAUAACAACUGUACAAGUGCAUCUGAAAAUGAUAAGGAGCUUUGUGAAGAUAGUAUGCAGGCGCUUGAGAGCUUUUUGCUAAGGUGUCCCGGGGAUUUUUCUUCCUACUGUGAAGAAAUUUUGCAUCUCAUCCUGUGAGAGUGCUAAGGAAUACACGGAUGAUGGAAAUUUCAAUUGGAACUUGGAAGGUUAGAAGAGCUGUGCCAAAUGCUUAGCUGCAUUGGUAGUUACUCGGCCUGAGAUGCUAUCAAAGCAGGUACAACUAGGAAGUGUGACCUAUUUUGGCUUACUUACUUUAAGCUAUUUUGUAUUUGAAGUUUGAUAUAGUGUUUCCCCUCUAUUUGACAUUAGAUUUUUCUUUCAGGUGUGUUGCGCAGAUGUAGCUCUGCAUUCUUAUUAAGUUGAAAUGUUUCUAUGUUCUGUGACUGUCCAUUUAUCUCACUCAUAAUAAGCUAAUAGUGCGUGCCGACUUUAACCUUAUGCAGGCUUGUUCAAAGUUGAUUGAUAGGUUUAAAGGAAGGAAGAGUAAGAGUCUAUGGUACGCCUGAAGCGUGAUAGAUCCAUCCAUUCCAAAUGUAAAACUCCUUGAUAAAGGAGAGGAGUAAAUUAUCAAAAUGGUCAUUGCUAAUGAGGCAAGGCUUUGAAGAGCACUCUGAUAUAACAUUUCAUAAAAUCUGGGCAAAGGUUCAUGUACUUGAAAAUGAUGAAAAAUGAAGAGAUUUCGAUAAGUUAUGUUGUAUUGAAAUCGAUAUCAAAAUGGUCGUCGACUUAUAUUUGAUAUGAUGUAGCACUCAAUGCUAUAAAUGGUUACGAGGAUCAUAAAUUUGAAUCUGUCAUACAGUAUGAAUAGAUAAAUAUUUGACGCUAUUCAAGUGUAUUAUAUUCAUGUUAAUGUUAUGGUUAUGAUUAA